AAGCAAGAUGGGGAAGGAAAAGAUGAAUCUAGUGAAGAAAGCAAUGAAGAAGAAGAAGAAGAAAAAAUUACAUCAGGUUCUAAAGAUGAUGCCAAAAGAGGAAAUCAUACAAACAAGAGUGAACCUGCGCCAAAUGAUGAGGAUGAAGAAGAGGAUGAAGAAGAUGAAUCUGAAGAAGAAGUUCAAGAUUGGGAUAGCCAGAGUGAAGAGGAUUCUGAUUGGUCCAAUGAUGAAGUCAAAGGAAAGAAAGCAAAGACUAAAGAGGAAGGUAAAGAAUGAAAUUCAAUGCUUUUAUAAUGAAGCAUAGUUCUCAAAGAGAAUGAAAAACAGAAAAACUCUUGGGAACUGGAAAAAUAACAAUUGAAUUUUUAUUAUUAUUAAUAUUAUUGUGUCUCUGUCAUUACAAUAUUGGUUCAUGUACUUUGUACAUUAAAUUUAAAAAUUUGUGUCCUGCAUUUAUGGAAGAAUAAAUCUUUUACUUUAACCAUGGUUUCUGCAUUUUCAAUUCAUCUAUUUAGAGCAUUAAAAAUGUUUAU
rnacentral:lncRNA from 1 species